CAAUAGGUCAGUAACUGCCCUUUGAAUAUAUUUCGAUGAAGAUAAAUAAAUGAAAAUAAAUUGCAAUAUACGUGAAAACCCAAUGUGUUUAGUACUCAUCACUAACAAAAGUAACAUCAGUUAAAGAUUCUUGGCCAAACGAAACAUCAAUGCCAAGCUGGCAGAUCUUCAUGGAAUCAGCAGAUCAUCUGUCUUACGUAAUUUGACAUGCCUUCAUGAGUUCAAUCAACAAACAUAUGCUCGGUUUCAAGUCCAUGUACAACAAGAAAUAUGCAUGAAGGAUGGAUUCCGCCACAAGUCCUGGGAGCAGUGGAUGGGACUCUCAUACCCAUAAUACUGAAUAGGUUAUAUGACACACAUGCAGUUGAACACAGCAGAAACUCUUGAAGAAAAAAAUGUGUAUUUUUUUUAUUUGAACUUAAAUGUAAAUAAUAUAUUUAAUUUGAGCUCAACUAUACCUUGAAUAAUUAGCUGUUAAUGAUAUUAAGGUUAACAUGCAACGUCCUUAUAUCACUGUUUCUACUACAGAUUUUCAUUAAAAGCACUAAUGUAUUCAGGGUCAUUAUGUUAGGUCAAUGACUAAGGUCUAUAUCUCUGACCUGCAUUUAGCUUAAUAAUGCCCCUUUUUAAUGCCCCCGGAUAGAAAGAUCGGGAGUAUAUUGAUUUUGGUCUGUCUGUCUGUCUGUCAGUCAGUCAGUCAGUCGGUCAUUGUGUAUGUCCCAAAACUUUAAACUUGGCCAUAUCUUUUGCAAUAUUGAAGUUAGCAACUUGAUAUGUGGCAUGCAUGUGUAUCUCAUGGAGCUGCACAUUUUGAGUGGUGAAAGGUCAAGAUCAUUCUUCGAGGUCAGAGGUCGUACAUAUGGCUUCAAAGCAGCGCAAUAGGGGGCAUUGUGUUUCUGACAAACACAUCUCUUGUUGAACUUAAAAUGUUCCACUUAAAUUGUGUGUACAGCUACUCCAUAUCCCUAUAUUUUCCACAGAUAUUCAAAUAAUCCUUUACAUAUGUAGUCAGAAUUUUUAUUUAAAAAAUUAUAUAAUUAAUAUAUAUUUGGGUGAUUGUUGUAAACACUACAAAUAUUUACUGUUGUUGCGAAUAAAGUUGUUGAAACU